rnacentral:rRNA from 1 species
AUUGAACGCUGGCGGCAGGCCUAACACAUGCAAGUCGAGCGGAGCGGCGGAAGGGUGAGUAAUGCCUAGGAAUCUGCCUGGUAGUGGGGGAUAACGUCCGGAAACGGGCGCUAAUAACGCAUAAUAUCAGAUGAGCCUAGGUAGGAUUAGCUAGUUGGUGGGGUAAAGGCCUACCAAGGCGACGAUCCGGAACUGGUCUGAGCGGAUGAUCAGUCAGACUGGAACUGAGACACGGUCCAGACUCCUACGGGAGGCAGCAGUGGGGAAUAGUGGACAAUGGGCGAAAACCUGAUCCAGCCAUGCCGAGUGUGUGAAGAAGGUCUUCGGAUUGUAAAGCACUUUAAGUUGGGAGGCGUUACCAACAGAAUAAGCACCGGCUAACUUCGUGCCAGCAGCCGCGGUAAUUC